GGCCGAGAGAGGCCACCGGCCCUUUGUUGAUCUGCGAGAAAUCAAACUACGAACACGACAAGCAUUAGCCUGCAGCUCGAGGAGACAAGGAAUAAAUCCAACUUGAUCAUAACAUCCAACUGUGUUGCCCAGGCUAGUCUCAAACUCCUGGAUUCAAGAGCCCCUCUCCUCUCAGCCUACGAAAGUGCUGGGAUUAAAGUCCUGAACUGACAGCCACAAGUGGCACCUGAACAGGGACUUGAACAAAGAAGGUCUGCUGGAGCAGAAAAAGUGAAACUGACCAGAUGAAUGAGAAACCCUGGGAUGAGUCUGCCUGCAGAGGAUAUAAGGAGAUGGAUAAACCGUGUGAGUGCCCUCAAGUUGUGUGCGACCAUGGAAUGGGAGACUGGAGGGAUACAUGGAUCCCAACUACAGGCCCAGCUCCUCCAGUAUGAGCCAUGAGCCAGUUGAAUCUGAAUGUGAAGAUGGAAUGAAGACCGACGAGAGUCACACUGACGUCAACCCUCAUAACAUGGGGUCAGAUCAAGAAAACCACACCAGAAGCUGAGAAACUGGUGUAGUGCCAGGGUCAGGCAAAAACCCCUGACUCCAUGUUUAUGGCCAUGCUAGCUGUAAUAUCCUGUGCAGUAUGAUUUUUCUGUGCAGAAGCAAAAACAUAUUGGGCAUAUUUUCCUAACCCACCGGUAGUGUGAUCAUACUCUGAAGCAGCACUCCUCCUGAGAUAUAUCAUGAUCAAGGAGCAUCAGUACCAGGACCUCUAACUCCCCCUGACACAGAGCAAUUAGACUCUCAUAACAAUGGUAUCAAUUAUACCACUCCAUUGGAGGGACUUCCUUUAUGUGUCACCCAGGAUACAUUGCUCAACUGCAGUUGCCUUGCAGUUUGAUCCCAAGCAUGGUUGAGUUACCAUUAAAAAAUUAUGUACCUAUUAGACCUUAGCUUUAUUAAUAUUACUUGUGUAGUUACUAAUCACUCCUGGCCCCAUCACCCAAAUUGUACUGAUUAUACAGAAUGGGCUCCCUUUGAUAAUUCUCACCCCCCUCCUUGGGCCCACUGUCUUGGCCCCUUAGCUAGACAAUAGUCCAUGUUAAUGGGAGACAUUAUUGACUGGGGUCCCUGUGGUCAUUAAGAUGGGAGAGAUGAGAAUCAGACCACAUGGCAUAAACUUCACUGGCACUGGUGGCGAAACUUUAACAUCUCUUCACUUCAACACACUGGGAUUCAAUCCCAAUCUGCCAUGCAACUUGCUUGGCAUGGAACGGGCUUUAGCCCACCUUUGCCUCAAUGGCAUUAUCAAGGAAAGAGAGGUCCAAUUCAGGAGUCUAUGUGGAAGGCAGCACUCCCAUAUAUGAAUGGCAGCAUUUGGGUUGGGACACUAUCCAAUAAUAGUAAUAGUGCUCAAUACAGUUUAAUGUUACCUUUGUAAAAAAUGUUUGAAAUUUGUGUUUUUAAUCCCUAUGUUUUUCUAGCAGCAAAAAAGGACCAACUCCAGUCUGUAAAAUCAACUGGAACACCAACCAGCAAUUGAGAGCUGAACAGCCUGCAAUUACCUUUAUUCAAUUAAAUCAAAAGCAGAAAGGGGGAGAUGUUGGAGGCUGAAAGAAUGAGGGUCAUGACCAACUCAGUAUACCACUGGAGGCUAUGUGAGCAAACAGCAAACUGUUCUCAUGAAUACAGGAUAUUGGCAAGCUGACAGCUGCAUCUGCCACCAGAAGGAAUGCUGAGGACAGUCAUGCAUCAGGCACAGUGUUCCUUGUAGUUAUCUAUAGGAACAUCUGGACCCUGUUGUAUAAAGAAAGCAAUUAUUUGAGCCUGUGAUAAAUCAAGCAGCUGACUAAAACUGUUACCUCUUCCUCCCUGUUGAUUCUACCUAAUACAUGUGAAGGGCUGUAUAAGCUCAGGGCCCUUGUUCCCUAGAAGCAAGGAGCCCCCUGACCCCUUCUUUACAACAAAUCUUUUUGUUUUUGUCUUCAUUUCUGCAUUCAUCCUCCUUCGUUCAGUCCCGAACCGACAGCCACAUGAUCUGGCAAUCCCAUUUCUGGAUAUCUAUAUAAAUGUUCAAAGCAGGACCUGAAAGAAACAUUUCACACCCCUGUUUAUAAGAGAUUUAUUCUAAAAAUCCAAAAGGUAGAAGCUACUUGAAUGUCCCUUGACAGAUAA
rnacentral:lncRNA from 1 species